rnacentral:miRNA from 1 species
AUCCAAAGCACCCAGAGAUUUUGUCAAAAUGCAGAUUCUGAUUCAACAAAUCUGAGAUGAGGCAUAAAACUCUGCAUUUCUAACAAGCUCCCAGGAGACACAGAG